ACUGUUGGCCCCGCCUACCUACACCCUCAUCAUCGGUCUGCCAAUCAACCCAUCAGACAGGAGCGCUUAAGGACAACUCCUGCCACCAGACAGGGCCCAAUGUUGUGGAGCCGGAGGAGGAUAGAUAGGGAGGGUUUUGGGGUGUUGACGAGAAGUUAGUGAAAAGCCUUUGUUGCGUGUUAGAGUGGUAAGUGUUGGGUGAACUGUAUAGUCUCUCCUUUUAUGGUGUGCUGUUCCUCCUGUUGUGUUGUGUUGUUAUGUACAGCACUCUAGGUUUUGCUAGGUACGUGUGUAUUCCCGCCCGCACAUCCCUCUCCUUCGUUGUCACGUUUCCUAACCCCUGGACGGCGACGUGACAUGUACCAAAAAACGCUGUCUGAAAAUGAAAGUAAAAGUAAUAAGUCUCGGGGCGUAAGGGGAUACAGACGGCAGAUGCACGUGUGGUGAACAUGGCCUUAGAGGUGCAGAGCCCCCAUUUAAUCAGACGUCUACUCUGCUCACUGAAGGAUGUAACAUUGUGGAUCAUCAGUGUUCUACACUACACAUUGUGGAUCAUCAGUGUUCUACUCCACAGUGCUAAAAAGGUGAAAUAUUACCCUGUUGUUUGCGGGAAAACUCGGGGUCACCAUAAACCCAUUAUGAAGUUGCUGAAGGUCGCAUCUGAAGUGUCCACGCCUAAAGACAGUGACGUCAUCCUGGCCUUUUGUCCGGUUGUGUCUCGACUCGGGACGGACGUUGAAGCAGCUCUGAAAACCAUACAAGAAUACGCAGACUCGAAACCUGUCAUCCUGGUUGUGAUGCACCACACCUUUGACCCAGAUGCUACUGUACCAAGGAGCCAUAGGUUUGUGCAAGACGAAAAUAUUUUCACAGUGGACUGUCUUUUCCACGAGGACCUCGGGCUGCUGGCGUGUGGUACGAAUGAGAAGGCCUACAGCAGCCUCACUCAGAAGUUGUGUGAACUGAAAGAGGUUUAAUGACACUUCUCCAAGAGGAGCAAAGGUAAACCAGCAAUCAUGGAGAAAUUCCAGGAUUGACGUUGGUGAAACUCCGGAUCGGGUCUUGGACUUCAUCCUGUCUGAAAAUGUUAAGAUAAUUCUGAGAUAAUUCUUCCCAUUUUCAGAGCGAAAAAUGGAGAUAAAAUCUGAACAAAUAUUUAAUUCCUUUGGUACUUCAGGAAUAAAAUGACUAUAACCUUUAAGGAAUUUCCA
rnacentral:lncRNA from 1 species